UCAGAACAUUCAAACAAACUUGUGUUCAUAAAUUCAUUUUCAGAUGAAAUAUGGACAUUAUUUUACUUUGGUGCAAUUCCAUUAGUCUUAAUCUGAAUGGAAAAUUGCAAAACACAUUUCAGAAAAAUAAUUUAGUCAUUAAAGUCUGAAUGAAGCAAAAUUUCAAAAUCUGCUAUUCAAUUUUCGUUCAACAAAUUAAGGUUUUGACUGUUUCAAAUAAUCCUGAAUGGUGACCAAUGGGCAUCUGGUUCGGACGCUUACCACUUGACGCUUGAAGUGGACCAGACCACUUCAAUUUUCUUACCAUUUGGGACGAGGGCUGUUUUUAAUUUCUUCUAUUUGUUUAGCUGUAAAUUUUCCUUUUACUCAUUUACUGUACCC